UGCUACAACGCGUUCCCGUACUCCAAAAGCAAGCAAAACUUGCAGCUCUCUCGAAAAAAAAAUGGCGCUGAGUGGUGCACAUUUCUGCUUGUUUUAGCUACAUGAAUUUGGCCGAGCAGAAAUGUGCAUAUUGUAAAUUUGAAAUAUAUUUGGCAGGGCUAGCAAGGUUGAAAAAUGUAUUGAUACAUUUCAAUGUUCGCGCGUCACAACAAAUGUAAAGAAAAAAGAUCAACUUAAAAACUAAAGGUAAAACUAAUAUUUGUCGUGCAAAAAACAAAAAGAGAAAAUAUGGAGCAACUGAUGUAUUCACUUUUGGAUGAUUCCAGCAGUGAAGAGGACUGGCUGAAUGAGGAAUCAGACGAAGAAAACGUAUUGGAAAACAUUGCAAAAUAUGUAAAAGGUAAACGUCACUCGAUACUCGGCCAUAGUGUGAAUGUAAUAUCCAGCUACACCGACGAAGAAUUUAAAAUGCACUAUCGUAUUUCGCGAAGUCUUUUUAAAAUUUUGAGCGAUAAGUUUAGCGAAAGACAGCAGUACAAACAUCUACGCUCAGACAAACGACUUUAAAGCGAUGAACAUUUGUAUGUAUUUUUGUUGUUUGCGGGUCAUGAAGCCUGUAGCUAUAGAGAUCUUUCCGAUAGAUUUAAUGUAACCAUAUCUUCUGUAAGUCGUAUUAUAAAGCAAGUGACUUACUUUUUAAGUACACUAAGUUCACAGGUGAUAAAGUGGCCUUCAGCAGAAGAACGACAAGUUUCGAGUGAAUACUUUGAACUGAAAUACUAUUAGUUGUAUUGAUGGGACCCAUGUUAUAAUUGAUCCGCCAAAGGAUGGACGAAAUGAUUAUGUCGACCGCAAAGGACAUUUUUCAUUAAAAGUCCAAGGAGCGUGCAAUGAAAAACGAAAUUUUAUUAAUGUGUUUAUCGGAUACCCAGGGUCGGCACAUGAUAGUUGGGUUUACCAAAAUUCGCCAUUAUCUCAAAAUUUAGAUAGCAAAUGUGGAGCAUAUCCAUGUAACAGGUAUCUUGUCACACCCUACCAAAGGUAAACCAAAGAUUUCGGCAGCUGUACUAUUGCAAGCUUCGAGGUGUGAAAAGCUCUGCCAUUUUAUAAGGGCGUGUUGCGUUCCGCACAACCUAGCAAAUGAGAACGAUUUCGAUUUUGAUGAAAAUAGUGAAGAAGAACCUGAAGUAGAUGCAUCUUCAGAUCAUCAAGACAUGUCAGCCAACAGUGCAAGCCGAGAUAUUUUGUGCCUUUGAAAUUCGAGAAAACAUAACAGGUGUGUAUUACGAACAAGUUAAAAAGUAUCCAUCGGUUUGCCGACAGAUUGAUACUCCCGCCUUUAUCCGUUUAUUAAAAUAUCUUUCGACAUGCUUUAUUCAAAAUUUCGAACCUUUGAGGGAAGCU